AGAUUUUUUUGGAUUAAAACUGAGAUUUGUUAUUGACGAGUGUCAUGAUAAGACCAAGGCAGAGUUAAUACAGCACCUAAAGCGUGUGAAGAAAAAAGUUAACAAACGGUAUUACUGCUUCAUUUGCGUCAUCAUGGUUCACGGAAAUGAAACCGGAAUUGCUACUUGUGAUGACCCCAUUCAUCCUAAUGAAAUAAAAGCAAUGUUUGAUAACACAAGGAUGGCCAAAUAUGCAGGUAAGCCAAAACUAUUUUUGAUUAAUGCGUGUCGUGUGGAGACAUCAUCUCAGCCACAAACGAACCCGGAUGGCUCCCCAGUUGAACAUGAUCCAUCGCAAUAUUUGUUUGAAGCCGGC